AUACGUAGGGGGCAAGCGUUAUCCGGAUUUACUGGGUGUAAAGGGAGCGUAGGCGGCGGAGCAAGUCAGAAGUGAAAGCCCGGGGCUCAACCCCGGGACGGCUUUUGAAACUGCCCUGCUUGAUUUCAGGAGAGGUAAGCGGAAUUCCUAGUGUAGCGGUGAAAUGCGUAGAUAUUAGGAGGAACACCAGUGGCGAAGGCGGCUUACUGGACUGACAAUGACGCUGAGGCUCGAAAGCGUGGGGAGC
rnacentral:rRNA from 1 species